rnacentral:lncRNA from 1 species
AUAGCUGUUGUCCUCUACUGCCUUCACAUGGUGUUGCUUCUGUGUGUACCUGUGUCCUUCUUACAAGGACACAAGUCAUACUGGAUUAUGGUCCACCCACACGAUCUCAUUUUUACCUUAAUUACUACUUUAAAGACCCUGUCUCCAAAUAGAGUCACAUUCUGAGAAGAGGGAAAGUAGGAAGCAGGCACAGGAGAACACUAUGUGACUAUGGAGGCAGAAAUUGGAGUGAUUCAUCUGCAAGCCAAGGAAUGCCAAAGACUGCAACCGCCAGAACCUAGCAAGAGGGAAAGCAGAAGCUGAAGCAGAGAAAAAUGAGCAUUAAAAUCAGACUGAGACUUGAGGCAUCGAAGUUCACAAGACACAAGAAGGGACAAUGGUAUGGGACUUAUCUCAUUUGGGGAGAGAUGGAAAUUCUUCAGGAGAGGAUUUGAGAUUCUGGAGCAGGGAGAGGUCCUAAAUUGAGCCCGAGGGUUGAUGAUGAGGAAGCAUCCGGUGAUUGCGAGUUAGGAAGCAAGCUACUGUCUAAGUGGGGUGCCUCCCCAAAAGCACUUCUUCACCCCUUCUCCCUUGAUACUAUAAGUACACUUUGUGUCAGAUAGAGUGGGUCUAUUUAGCAAAUUCUGUAUGCGUUUUGGAAGACAUUCUCACCAAACAACUGCUCAAACUAUCCAACCAUUCAGAGAUUUCAUACAGGUCUGGUCUGGAAGAGACAAGCAUGGUAGAACUUAAGGAGGACACAAGGCUGAAUGGACACAGGCACUCUGUCUAUAGAACACUGGGUGGAGUGGAGUACAGACUGGUAGAGAACUUCCAAGUGUAAGGCAAUCCAGCUGCUCCCCAAGAUUCUUCCCAUAAGGUAAUGGGGGAUUUGGUCUCUCCCUAAUGGACAGGAAGAAAGAGCUCUGGCUGCCAGUAGUACAUACAGAAAUUUAUGUGAUUUACUAUAAAUGGUACCCCUUCCUCAAAGCACGUGACUUCCACCUGGUCAGAUAAAUGUCAUAAUAAAUAUACACAGAUAUGAAAUCCAGGUGAAUGUUGAUGUUGGGUUAUAUGUGGUCACUGAACACGGUGUAUCCGUACUAUCUUUGUAACUGUCCAUGGUGGCCUUGCCUGGCACAUUUGGAUCGCAAGAAUAUCCAGAGAAGAAUGUGUCAAUCAGAAGGGUCGAUUAACUUAUCCAGGAAACAAGAGAGUCACUGGGGAGAAGAUUAACAUUGCUCGUUCAGUCGUUGCUCUGGGGAGCAGGAUUUGCAGGUCUAUGCAAUGUUACGUCACACUAAGUUACUCUGGUGCUGUUUAGAAUCUGAAUCAUACUCUACCUCCUUUACAUUGAUUGCAUGCUCACCUGCUAAUUGUAAUUUGACCUCCAUGACUUGAGCUGAGCAGGCGGGUUGAGUGGCUGGUUCCCUGUGACUGUUCUCUCUCACUAAAUGCCUUAAGUUUGCCUUCUGGUACCAAUGUUGUUGCUGUCUUGCUGAAGGAUGGAACAACUCUCUUUUUUCUGACGUAUCAGAUUUCCUGGUGGUGGCAGCAUUCAGUUCCUUGCUGGCUAUUGGAAGAGACCACCCUCACUUGCUUGUUGUGUGGCCCUCUCUAUAUGGCAGCUCACAACAUGGCAGCUUGCUUCUUUGAAGCUGGCAAGGGACAGAGUCUCCUAGCAAGAUGGAGAUUACAGUCUUAAGUAAUGUAAUCACAUACAUGUAAUCACAUGCAUCUAUUAUCGUUACCAUAUUCUAUUGGUUAGAAGCAAGUCACAGGUCCUGCCCACACUCAAGGGGAGAGGAUUAUACAAGGGUGUGAAUACCAGGGAAAAGGGAUCAUGGGACCAUCUUAGUGUCUGUGUGCCCAAACUGAGUAUGUAUCUGCUCAACUAGAGUCUACAUUUCCUAGUCUUCCUUGUAGCUAGGGGUGGCUCUGAGUUUUGGCCAAUGGGAAGAGAGCAGAAGUAAUGGGUGGGAAUUUUGGAAUCUAUUUUAAUAAGGAAGUUUCUUACCAUCCACUCUGCUCUCUUUCCCCGUUCCUGCAAGUGACAAUGUGAAUAUGGUGUUAGCAGUGUUGAUGCUGCAGAUGAAGAUAACCCUGGGAGGUGAUAGAGGAAUAGCAUGAAAAGACUGUCCUGGAUGACCAUGUAGAGUGGAGCCACUUUACCAGCGCUGAAAUGCUCACUUCUGUUAUAAGCGAGUGAAAUAAUCUUGUUUCUCAAACUGUAUUUUGGAGCCUCUUUGUUAUAGGAGCUUAACUUAUACCUAACUCAUAGCAGUUUAUUCUGUAGCUAGACUGUCUCAACAUGGUGGGCAGCCUCGUGGGAUCUGCUCAUGGACCAACCUGAACUGGAGGAUAAAGUGUACAAAGAACAACAUACAUUCACGACAAUAGAUUUCACAAACUUUCAUAUAAAAGAAGAAAGACAUCACCUUAAAAACAAACUUUUAUAUAAAAGACAGACGUUACCUGAAAAGCGUGCUUAUAGAAAAAACAAUCUAGUUUUUUAGUAUUAACUUAAUCCUCUUGGCAUUUUUAAGGAUUAAAAAAAUAAUGACUUGAAUAAGUAACUGUUCUAGUUAUCUAUUGCUGUGUAACAAACUGUUCUAAGACUUAGUGGCCUAAAACAACAGGGAUAAUAUUAUUUUUUUCUCUCAUGAUUCUGGGAGUUAAUUAGGCUCAGCUAGGUGGUUCCUUCUUGGGACCUCCAUUGAGUGGUGGUCAGAUAGUGGCUGGGGCCGGAUCAUCUCAAGGCUCACUCCAUUACACGUCUGGAGGUUGAUGCUGGCUCUUGGCUGCAACCUCAGCUGGGGCUAUUGACCAUAACCCCUUCCUGUGGUUCUCAAUGAGGUCUUUCCACUUCCUCAUGACAUGGUGACUGGUUCCAAGAGGAAAUGUGCUGUGGGCCCAGGUGGAAACUGUAUUGCCUUUUAUGACCUAUCCUCUGAAGUCACAUCACUGCUGCCAUAAUCAUAGACCUGCCCAGAUUCCAGGAGGAGAGGGCAUAUACCCUCUCAGUGGGAGGAGUGACCUCUCAAGGUCAUAUUGCAAGAAGAGCGUCUGGAAUGGGAGGUCUUGUGGUCAUGUUGGAGAGUACUAUCAGUCACAGUCCACCCUUUGGUCAUAACAAUUUAAAUUCCUCCCAUGUACAAAAUGCAAUUAUUCUGUCCCCUUCCACCGAGUCUCAUUCUAUUAAGGCAUUUGCUCAAAAACCUAGGUCUUGUCAUUGAAAUCAGGCCCAGGUGCAGGCGAGGCUUCUUGAAUGUGGUUCUUUG